GUUGUAGUUCCGCGCUGCGGCAUGGGGGACAUGGCGGAGGGCAGGUGGGAGGGAGGGAGGGCCGAGCGCCGCGGCGCCUGGGUUCGUUCCCAGCGAAGAAACCCGAUACAGCUUAUCCCGAGGGCCCUCGAGAAGCCGUGGCUAACGGUGCCUGUGGGCCGCGAGGUGCUGUGGGUGCGCAGCAGCGAGCAACACUGGUGAAUGUGACCUUUGAAGAUGUGGGAUUGUCAAGACUCGUCAUAGAUGGAGAGCUCCGUCUGAUUCGACCUCUGUGCAGGAAGGAAUCAAAUCCACAUAUUAUCAGAGUGCAGGACAGAAAGGAAUGAAAGCGUAACUAGCCCAGGCUUAAAACCAUCACACUUGCUCAGAGGAAAAUGCCCAUGCAGCAAGAAGGAGUGCAGAAGAAAUCCUGUUUCAGCUGCGUAUCUUCCCUGACCGAGCUGGUGUUUGCAUAUCACACUGCAGAGAUAGAGGGUACUUUAACUUAUUCAUGUGAGAUAACUGGCUAAUACUGCACGGGUUUGAGCUCCGGUUAUCUUGCAAUAAACCAACUCAAAUGUGCAGAAAUAGCCUGUCUGACCCUGUGUUGUCAACAUAUGCCACAUUUCCAGCCUCAGCCUUUUCUCCUCCCACCAAGGGAAGCUUUCAUGGAUGCUGGGGCUGUUCAAGGGGAAGCAGAACUGCUUUGCCUCUAUUUCUAAGGGCCAAAUUCUGCCCUUGGGUGCAGCUGCAUGUUCCAACCAACACCAAACUGAGGGCAUAGUCCCGGCACAGCUCUUUUGGCUUCUAUAGGCUGGCACAAUGUUCAUCUCCCAGUUAGGCAUUUGGAGAAAACAUUUAAGCUUCCGAAAUCAAUGAAAUUACCAGGUACUUGGCCUAUACAUGAGAAUUAGGAGAUGAAGUAUUUUGUUGGAUUUAGACCUUUACCACUUGAGAUAAACAAGAAACUUCAUUAGGUGCAGUAGUGAGCUGCUUCUCUUCCUUUCUGCUGACCACGUGAGAACCUGAUUCUACAGUACUGUGAGUUGGAGCAAGACUUGGGAGAAAAUUUACCUCUUCUGAGAUGGGAGGGUGGACAACUUCUUUGAUAUUUGCCAGUGCAAACAACACAGCAUCAUGGAUGGUCAAGAAG